CUGCAAAUGCUGGCUUUGUCAUCCUGUGACACAGAUGCUCAAAGUUUACCCAGGAAGAUGGGGAUGUACAGGAGUUCUCAUUCUUGGAUUUCUGAAAUGUUCCUCCUUCUCCACAUCAGCAGACUUGGCUACAAGCCAUUCCUUACCAUGCAAAGUGUAUGCAAUGUGUCUGCCAAGAAAUGGAAGACUGGGACAAGACAGGGGACACAGAAAGGCAUCGAGCCAUUACCCGCAACCAAAAGUCAAACUCCAAAUUUCAUAUCCAGAGCUCUCCCUACUGUGCCUGCAUUGGGGAGCCAUCUCGUCUACCUCCUCCUCCCGUGAAAGUGUUGCCUGGGUUCUCUUUCCACAGAGCCAGAUGCAAGGACCUGCUAUAUAUGGGCUGGGGCCCCUGAGCACACUGGGAUCCAACUAGGGAAAGAAAGCAACGCUCCUUCAUCUGUACAUCCCAAGAGUAGCCGGUGCCUUUUCACUGACACAGCUUCCAGUGACUGGAGCUUUCCCAGUGGGGAAAGGAAGAGAGGAGCUCACACACAGGGUGUCCACGCAAUGCCAUCCAUCCUACCAGGUUCCCACAAAGCCAUUAAUCUUAUGCCAACCCUGGUGGCCCUCUAAAUUAGAUUAAUUAAUGCACCUCAGAGGGGUUUUGUUGACUCACUCCAGAGUAACAACUAGCGACAAAACUGAGUUCAGCAGAUGUGCAGGGCCCAGGAGGUGACAGCCUGGCUACCCUCCCACGCCCUCCGCCUUGGCAGCCUGGCCGUGCAGCCACCAGAGGGUGCCCUUGCACUAGGCGCAAGGGAAAAGGAUCAGCCCAGUUACCCCAGAGCUGGGGCCCGGGAACUUCCUCUUCUGAUUUACAAAGGUACAGAGACAGGAGUGAGAAGAGAGGGCUGAGGGGCCCCUCAGAGGACCCUUAGCUCUGUAGCGGGCCUCCUUCUAGCCUUGUGGAACGGGGCCCAAUCUGACUUCGAGCAGCGUUUACACAGCAGUGUCAGCCAAAAUCAAAACGGGAGCCAUCCGGUCAGCAUGGGGAGGUAUGCUGACCUUUUAUUAAGUAAAGGACAACUCAUGGCUCAGAAAAGAAUAGACAAUAGUAGGGUGAUCACACAGAGUAAAGGUGACAUUUGCUUCAAGGAGCUUUUGUUUUAUCUUACAUGUACAUGUCUCAGCCAUGCUGUGAAGGUUUACCUUACUGCGAGUAAUUAAGUUUAAAGUAGACUAACCCAAAGUGCAUAUAAAACCCAGACACCCAGAACCUAGAUCCGUGUCUCACUGGGGUCUUAAUGCUUAUAUUUCUGAUAGACCCUAGGCAACGAGUACGCACUGGGAACGGCCCAGUAGAGGAAGUGGACCCAGAGGUGAGGCUUCCUCUCCUGCUCCACCAUCUCUCCUGACCUGGACAGCACAGGCCUUUUAUUCAAAAAUUUGGCCCAAACAGAGCAAGAAAAGUCAUUCUGGACUCCCUCAGAGGAGGGCACAGGCAAUCUGCUCCAAGAACGGGGUGAAGCGGGGGGCGUGUCUCCAGCACCAGGCAACUGAACUCUGCUUUCCUGCACUGGUUCUGCCAGAAAAACAAACCCAAAAAACAAAAAUCACCUAAGAGUCAACCAGAUCUGGGUUGGAAUGCUGAGUCUUGCACCUGCCUAUGUGACCAUGGAUGCAAUCUCUCUGAACCUCUAUUUCCUCACUUGUUAUGAUAGGACCAUAGCAUUUGCCAGGGCUGUUGGGAGAGAGAGUUAAGUGCAAUCAGGCACCCA
ensembl:lincRNA